rnacentral:rRNA from 1 species
UACAGAGGGGGCUAGCGUUGUUCGGAAUUACUGGGCGUAAAGCGCACGUAGGCGGCCUUGUAAGUUAGAGGUGAAAGCCCAGGGCUCAACCCUGGAAUUGCCUUUAAGACUGCAUCGCUUGAACACGGGAGAGGUGAGUGGAAUUCCGAGUGUAGAGGUGAAAUUCGUAGAUAUUCGGAAGAACACCAGUGGCGAAGGCGGCUCACUGGACCGUUGUUGACGCUGAGGUGCGAAAGCGUGGGGAGCAAACAGG